rnacentral:tRNA from 1 species
GGGGUUGUAGCUCAAUGAUAGAGCGCUCACCUAAUCUGUGUGAGGCACUGGGUUCAAUCCUCAGCACCACA